AUGUUGUAUUGGUUGAAACUUCUUCUGAUUCUGUUUUUUGGACGCUAAAGGAGGAGUAUUUACCGCCUGGUUGGCUCUGUCUGGUAUGUGGUGCAUCUGACAAUCAAGAACUUCCUCCAAAUUUUAUAAAGCUCAAAAGAGAUGUAUACACACCAGAUGUGAUGGCAGCAUGUGACUAUAUGAUCGGAAAGAUUGGGUAUGGAACAGUAAGUGAGGCUCUGUCAUACAAGUUUCCUUUCGUAUUUGUACGGAGAGACUUCUUUAAUGAAGAACCGUUCGUUAGAAAUAUGCUUGAGUAUUACCAAAACGGCGUUGAAAUGAUUAGGAGGGAUUUGCUCACAGGACGCUGGGCACCUUACCUUCAUCGUGCAAUUAGUUUGAAA